rnacentral:rRNA from 1 species
GUGGGGAAUAUUGGGCAAUGGGCGAAAGCCUGACCCAGCAACGCCGCGUGAAGGAAGAAGGUUUUCGGAUCGUAAACUUCUAUCCUUGGUGAAGAUAAUGACGGUAGCCAAGAAGGAAGCCCCGGCUAACUACGUGCCAGCAGCCGCGGUAAUACGUAGGGGGCAAGCGUUGUCCGGAAUGAUUGGGCGUAAAGGGCGCGUAGGCGGCCUGGUAAGGCUGGAGUGAAAGUCCUGCUUUUAAGGUGGGAAUUGCUUUGGAUACUGUCGGGCUUGAGUGCAGGAGAGGUAAGUGGAAUUCCCGGUGUAGCGGUGAAAUGCGUAGAGAUCGGGAGGAACACCAGUGGCGAAGGCGACUUACUGGACUGUAACUGACGCUGAGGCGCGAAAGUGUGGGGAGCAAACAGGAUUAGAUACCCCAGUAGUCC